GUGGGGAAUAUUGGGCAAUGGGCGCAAGCCUGACCCAGCAACGCCGCGUGAAGGAAGAAGGCUUUCGGGUUGUAAACUUCUUUUACCAGGGACGCAACAAAUGACGGUACCUGGUGAAUAAGCCACGGCUAACUACGUGCCAGCAGCCGCGGUAAUACGUAGGUGGCGAGCGUUAUCCGGAUUUAUUGGGUGUAAAGGGCGUGUAGGCGGGACAGCAAGUCAGAUGUGAAAACCAGAGGCUCAACCUCUGGCCUGCAUUUGAAACUGUUGUUCUUGAGUGUCGGAGAGGUAAUCGGAAUUCCGUGUGUAGCGGUGAAAUGCGUAGAUAUACGGAGGAACACCAGUGGCGAAGGCGGAUUACUGGACGAUAACUGACGCUGAGGCGCGAAAGCGUGGGGAGCAAACAGGAUUAGAUACCCUAGUAGUCC
rnacentral:rRNA from 1 species